rnacentral:rRNA from 1 species
AUGGACGAAAGUCUGAUGCAGCAACGCCGCGUGGAGGAUGACACAUUUCGGUGCGUAAACUCCUUUUAUAUAAGAAGAUAAUGACGGUAUUAUAUGAAUAAGCACCGGCUAACUCCGUGCCAGCAGCCGCGGUAAUAC